rnacentral:rRNA from 1 species
AAUAUUCGACAAUGGGCGCAAUCCUGAUCCAGCCUGUCCGCGUGAGUGAUGAAGGCCUUAGGGUUGUAAAGUUCUUUCAGUGGGGAAGAUAAUGACGUUAUCCACAGAAGAAGCCUCGGCUAGCUUCGUGCCAGCAGCCGCGGUAAUACGAAGGGGGCUAGCGUUGUUCGGAUUUACUGGGCGUAAAGCGCACGUAGGCGGAUUGGUCAGUGAGGGGUGAAAUCCCGGAGCUCAACUCAGGAACUGCCUUUAAUACUGCCAGUCUAGAGACCGAGAGAGGUGAGUGGAACUCCUAGUGUAGAGGUGGAAUUCGUAGAUAUUAGGAAGAACACCAGUGGCGAAGGCGGCUCACUGGCUCGGUACUGACGCUGAGGUGCGAAAGCGUGGGGAGCAAACA